UUGCUUUUAGCACUCAAAUUUAAUGAGAUAAAUUGUUUUGAAGUAGUUUUUUUUAUUUAGACCUUAUUUCGCCAAGAAUACAGUUUGUAAUCUCGGUUUGAGAAUUGGCGGGAAUUUCGAAUAAGGCUGGCAUGUUUAGGAUUUUGACACAAGUUUUGGUAGGUUUUCAAGAAGGUGGUAUUUUCCAAGGCCUCGCCUACACAAGAACGUUUUGUUUCACGGUUGUCUCGUAUAGAGUGUUGGGUAUUAUGGUAAAAUAUCCAAUCACGACUUUAUGCACGGUACGUGGUGAACAGCACUGACUGUAUUCACUACUAAAUUUUGUUGCGGGGAUGGAAGAACGGGAUUUGUAAUGCGUGAAGUAUGGUAGGGGCGACAGAUGAGAUAUGAACGGUAUGGUGAAGUGCGUGAUGUAUAAAUGGGGCGAAACAACUUGCUCACUUUUUAAGGUCAGAGCGAGUCCUUAACAUAGCCAAGGGUUUGUAUUUCGGUGGUAGGUUUCGAGUGCUUACCACACUCGAGCACGGUUUUGUGCAAUUUUGCGUAUUUGUGGCUACGCAUUUGGUCGGUAUGGGGUUCAUACCCAGCAGUUACCAUUUUUGAGGGGCUGUUUUAAAUUGGGUUCUUGCUUUUUUGGACAUAUCGACCGCGGUACCCCUUUUGGUUUGGUACCUUUUGUUUUAUCGUGUUGACGAUCCAAUGAGCCAUUUUUGAAGGCAUUGGAACGGCACUCGGUGUCUCCGCCACCUUUUUCAUGCCUGCUACCGCAAUGCAACUCAGCCAAAUGGUUGAAAUUUUUUCGAUUUAGUAUGGUUUUAGAGUUUAGGGUAGUUAUCCUUGGACGCACGACCCCUCGUCUUGUACCAGUCGUCGUGCCGCCAAGGACGACGAACCACUCACCUGCUAUAUACCUCGUUUUGUUUAGGUAUUUAUUUGGUUAUUUUUUUUUUUUUGGUUCGGCUAUUUUUUUGUUUUGGUUUUUGAUUCCGGAGAGUUGGGGGGACAGGUGUACCUCAUCAACUCAAAGGGCCGUUUUGGUUUUUUUUUUUAGAUUUGGUUUGGUGAUUGUUGUCUGCCUGAAGGGUUGGGACAGGCCUUAGUGUCCUCAACCGGUAGGGUUGCAACAAAGGUUUUCGUUGAAGGCUUAUAGUUAGGGGACUGUAGGUCUCAUUUUCGCCCGGUCUAGCUGAGUUUUUUUUUAAUGCUGAACUUCGGUCCUGGCGGUUGGUUUUUGGCUUUUUCAGCGCAACAAGCUUUUAUCGCGUUGUGCUGAGAAGGCCAACGGUUUGUUUACGGGUUGGAAGGAUAGACUGAGGUUUUUUUUCUAUGUGCAGCGCAGUUGGCCGCAUAGUUUUUUUUUCACCUUCCGUGGUACUGACGUGGGUUCGAGAUUAUUAUUUAGAUUUUUUUGUUCGGUCAGAACAGCAGUUAUUUUAAAUUGUUUAAUGUUAGUAUGAUUUUACUUUAAGAUUUUUUGGGGGUUCGUUUGAGCAUUUUUGGUAUGUUUUGAAUCUCGAAGUUGCGUCAGACUUUUUGUUUACAUUCUAGGUUUUCUAGGUCAGUUUGAGUAGGUUAGUUUUCUUGCCUUCACUUAGUUUUAAAUUUUGUUUUAGGAUGAAAGUCGCUGAGGACAGCGAGCGGUUCACCUACGUUGAACCUUAAAAUCGGGGAGGGGGGUAUUGUAACGUAGACAUUUUCUUGGAUUUUUAAUUAAUAUUUUUGGGUUGAAUUCUUUUUCUUCUUUCAACGUUUUUAACAAUAUCCCAAACUAACUCGAUUGAUUGCACUUCUUUGCAUAAUCUGUUGCAUUCAGAUGCACCGUUUGAUGCUUAUCUGUUGUCGGGGUUGUCAUAUGAGUAAAAAUAAUUAAAACUUGAGAUAUUUAUGUUGUCACUCCAGGAAAACUUUGUAUGGUUUAGGUAUGACUUUUUUAGAUAAAAAAUAAUAUUGAUGUAAAACAAAACAUAGAAAUUACAGACUGACAAAGAGACUCUGGAAUGAAACAUUAUUAGAUUUAAUGAUAAAAUAUAUUUUUUAGGCUCAAGAAAGAGUUCCUUGAUAAAUCAGUUCAGAAUUUUCGAAGGAUUUGUGUCUUCAGGGAUUGGCACCCUACUUUUGUUUUUUGCCUUUUGUUCUCAACAUAUGAGGAGAUCAUUCUGAGGUGACAUGCACUUUUGAUGUGUGGACCCCUCCGGGGACGCACGCUCGCAUGAGCCCUAUUUUGUGAUAAGACCACACAUUCCACAUGGUGGUCAAAAUGGUGGAAGCAGUUCGAGUCCUUCGGUGUGUUCCACUGAAGUUGACUCCUGCUCGAGGGAAGGGAGCGCUCCGCCAGAAGUCCUAACAGCUUCCAGUGCGGUGAGCUAAAUUUCCAAUUGUUUCAUUUCUUCUCUAGCGGCCAUAAAGGGCACCGGCUAAUAUAUCCUUUUCUCGCUUUGCAGGAGCCGGGAUGUUUCUAGAAGCUUUCGAUGCUUCUAGAUGUUUCUAGAUGUUUCUAGAAGCUUUUGAUGUUUCUAGAAGUUUCAAGAUGUUUCGAAUUUGAAGUUUUAAAAUGAUGCUGUGGGAUCUGUCCCACGUCAUCUGCACUGGCCGGCUCCAACCAGGUUAGCAGUCAGCUUCCCGGGGAUAGGCGAGGUCACUCCCCGCUGCUCCAGGUCCGGUAGCAGUUUUUGAGGUCGGUCCGAUGCAUCUUUAAUUUUCAAAUUGCGUCUGCGCUCGGCUACAAAUUUAAAAUGUGAUUUAGAGCAAUAGUUAUUUUAAUUUAAAGUUUUGAAAGUUCUGGUGCAUAAAACUUAGGUAUUUCGAAAUUUAGUCUUUAGUAAUUAAUUAAUUGGUGUAAACCUUAUAACAUGAACCUGUGAAGCGACCCAGCUAUACCACUGAGCUUUUACAUAAUAAUAUUAGGUUAAUAAAGUUUGUUAGAUA